rnacentral:rRNA from 1 species
AUUGAACGCUGGCGGCAGGCCUAACACAUGCAAGUCGAACGGUAACAGGAAACAGCUUGCUGUUUCGCUGACGAGUGGCGGACGGGUGAGUAAUGUCUGGGAAACUGCCUGAUGGAGGGGGAUAACUACUGGAAACGGUAGCUAAUACCGCAUAACGUCGCAAGACCAAAGAGGGGGACCUUCGGGCCUCUUGCCAUCGGAUGUGCCCAGAUGGGAUUAGCUAGUAGGUGGGGUAACGGCUCACCUAGGCGACGAUCCCUAGCUGGUCUGAGAGGAUGACCAGCCACACUGGAACUGAGACACGGUCCAGACUCCUACGGGAGGCAGCAGUGGGGAAUAUUGCACAAUGGGCUCAAGCCUGAUGCAGCCAUGCCGCGUGUAUGAAGAAGGCCUUCGGGUUGUAAAAUACUUUCAGCGGGGAGGAAGGGAGUAAAGUUAAUACCUUUGCUCAUUGACGUUACCCGCAGAAGAAGCACCGGCUAACUCCGUGCCAGCAGCCGCAGUAA